GAUGAAGAACGCAGCGAAAUGCGAUACUUGGUGUGAAUUGCAGAAUCCCGUGAACCAUCGAGUCUUUGAACGCAAGUUGCGCCUCAAGCCAUUAGGUUGAGGGCACGUCUGCCUGGGCGUCACAUAUCGUUGCCUGAUGCCAGUUUCCUCGUGAUGGGUGACUGUGCAGGGCGAAUGAUGGCUUCCCGUGAGCAUUGUUGCCUCAUGGUUGGUUGAAAAUUGAGUCCUUGGUAGGGAGCGCCGUGAUAGAUGGUGGUUGAGUGACGAACGAGACCCAAUCAUGUGAGACCCCUACCGAAUUUGGCCUUCAUGACCCACAUGCGUCUUUGGAACGCUCAUGACGAGACCUCAGGUCAGGCGGGGCUACCCGCUGAGUUUAAGCAUAUCAAUAAGGCGGAGGA
rnacentral:misc_RNA from 1 species